rnacentral:lncRNA from 1 species
GUAAUAUAUUUUGAACUAUAAUGUUUACAAACAAUUAUACUGACGUAAAUGUCAUUGUUAUUGUUUUAUCAAUGAGUACAAUAGACGAAUCUGUUUGACAAUUAAAAGUAAUGUUAUAGCAACCAUUUGAAAGCAUAUGAAUAGUCAUUAUAAGUGAUAUUAUUUAAUAUGAGUGAUAAGUGGAAUGUAACAGGGAACAUCAGGAGGAGCUUGGUCUCCUGAAGGAAAUUGUAACACGCC